rnacentral:rRNA from 1 species
UACGGAGGAUGCGAGCGUUAUCCGGAUUUACUGGGCGUAAAGGGAGCGUAGGCGGACUUUUAAGUGAGAUGUGAAAUACCCGGGCUCAGCUUGGGUGCUGCAUUUCAAACUGGAAGUCUAGAGUGCGGGAGAGGAGAAUGGAAUUCCUAGUGUAGCGGUGAAAUGCGUAGAGAUUAGGAAGAACACCAGUGGCGAAGGCGAUUCUCUGGACUGUAACUGACGCUGAGGCUCGAAAGCGUGGGGAGCAAACAGGAUUAGAUA